GUCCACACGGUAAACGAUGAAUACUCGCUGUUUGCGAUAUACUGCAAGCGGCCAAGCGAAAGCGUUAAGUAUUCCACCUGGGGAGUACGCCGGCAACGGUGAAACUCAAAGGAAUUGACGGGGGCCCCGCACAAGCGGAGGAACAUGUGGUUUAAUUCGAUGAUACGCGAGGAACCUUACCCGGGCUUAAAUUGCAGAUGAAUUACGGUGAAAGCCGUAAGCCGCAAGGCAUCUGUGAAGGUGCUGCAUGGUUGUCGU
rnacentral:rRNA from 1 species